GCGUACGCACGAACGUGUGUUUUAAACACAUACCUGUGCGUGUGUGUCCUCGGCGCAGAUGUGGAUGAGUGUGUGGAGGGCCAGCAGCAACAGCGCUGCCAGCAGACCUGCGUCAACACCUUCGGCUCGUUCCGCUGCUCUUGCCCCUACGGACACACCCUGGCUGGGGACGGAAGGGCCUGUGUGGCUGAGUGUCCCGCAGGGUACAGGAAACAACCCUCAACCCCGAUACCUGGAGGAAACCUGUCCAGAAAGGAGUGUGUAGACAUCAAUGAAUGUGAGGAGCCAGAGGUCAGUGUACCUGGACACCGGUGUCAGUGGAAGUGUGUGAACCUGCCUGGCUCCCACCGCUGUAUCUGUCCCAGAGGCUACAAACUGUCCUCAGACAGACACCACUGCAGAGAUAUCAACGAGUGCAGCCGUAAGAAUGGUGGCUGCUCUCACCUGUGCCUGAACCAUAAAGGAAGUUACCAGUGUUCCUGUCCUGCCUCUCACCGCCUCUCCCCCUACAGUAGGAAGAAGUGUCAGCCAAGGAAAGAACAGCAGAGUAGUGUGUAGCAGAGAUCGUGUGGAGAUCAUUUAAAUAUAAAUGUAAUUUAUUCCAUUGCUUUCUACCAUCCCUCUGUUCGGCUCUUGAACAAUGACUUCUACUAUUGAAUCUACAUUUUGUCAGUCCUUAGAUGUAUUUUUGUCAAAUCAUUACUGAGAACAGUAUAAAAACUAUUAAAAUAUUAUUGUCACAUCCAGAACAUAUCUGUGACAUUGAAUAGAGGCUUGGACUGCAUAUUACAGACAUAUAGCUGAAGAGAAACCAGAAAAACACGUUAUUAGUUUAGGGAUUUAAUUGAUGGCAUUUAAAUAUAUUUCCCUCAAGUGAUUACAUGUUGUUUUACAAGGUAGUGUGAAUGAAUGAGUAAAAACAUAAUGGAAACACGGUGCAGACACUGUGAUAAUAGAUUAGUAGAAUUGAUCCCCUCAAAAUGUCCUCAACUGCAGACUUAUAACAUGGCCAUGCCUAUAGGAAUAUCAAAUAUAAUUUUUUGAUUAAAAGUGACAGUAUUAAUUGUACUUUAGUCUGUUAUAUAAACAGUCAUAGUACUUUGUUAAAAAUACAUUAUUUCUAUGUAUCUACUAUAUUUAUAGUCUCUUUUUAAAUAUAUAAAAUAAAGUUAGACACAAAAACA